UGACGUAGUUGGUCCCGUAAAGGGGAAUAACUAGCAGGCUGCCAUUUCUUUAUUUCAUUGUUAUGUCCCUUGUUUUUGGCGGUCUACUAUUCGCUUUUUUUCUUUUCAUUUUUUUCAUUGUUAUGUCCCUUGUUUUCACUUUUUUAUUAUUCGCUUUUUUUCUUUUCAAUUUACAUUUUCGUAAUUAAAAUUAUUUCAACCUCCAAGCGCUAUAGCUUCAUGAAUUUUCCCGGAACCUCACCAUCUAGACGAAAUUACAAAUUGUAUAGAUCGAGAUCUAGAAGAUCUAGAUCUAGAUCUAGAUCUAGAGUAAGAUCUUAAACUAAUUCUUUGGUUUCGAAGUGACCAACCCAUUUUCAAAGUUUGAUGACGCGCUGCAAUUUAAAAUUCUUUGUUGACAGUUUGCUAUCACUUUAUCAGCUGAGUCCACAUUCUGGCUUUGGCUGUACUAAAGACUUUAGGGAAGAAUCUGAUCUGGAAUAAGCCAAACAUCAUUAGAUCUAGAUCUAGAUCUAGAUUCUAGAUGUACACAUCAAAGGAAGAAGCUUCGACGUUCGAAGCCGGUGGGGAGAUAUUUGCUCACAAGACAAACGUGUGUGCCUCAGUGACAGAGACCUGGUCUAUCUCCUGGACACGAGGAGAGAGCAAAGGUCAACCAGAAACUGGAGGAGGCUGUUUCCAUCUGUACUUUCAACCUGUGCUGAAAGUGGCUUGAAAGAGCAUCAAAACUGGUCCCUCACACCGGUGGAGCAACUGGCUGUUGCUAUGGAGAGAAGCUUUCUACGUAAAACAUCAUCUUUUUCCGAGUUGAACAUUCCAAAAAUUCCUGCUGGCCCAGCCACUGGAAGUGAGGGUGUUUCUGAAAACUUGCACAAUGGGCGUGAUCCCAACAGUCGUCUGUACCUGAGUGCCAAAGAAAUCUCGCCCUUCCUUGAGAUACCGCCAUAGUUCUCAACACUACACUCAACCAUUCACCUAAGAAACGCGAUUCUACAGACGGGCAGUGUUCCCUGCCGUAUGUGAGAGACGAUCCCUGUGGUCUGAGGCCGGUCAAGCCAGUGCCGAUAUGGAGUCAGUAUCUCUCUGACCGCUCCUCUCUACCUGUGUGUGGGAAGAAAACUGUGAUGUCUUCAGAACGUCAGAACCUGACAGAAAUGUUCAGCUAUCUGUCCGGAGAACAUUCACGACGCUACCAUGUUGAAGGGGACAUCAGCGCUGCUUACUCAGAGAUGGUCAUCAACAGGACCUGUCGGUAGAUUUGACUGGACGAAAGAUGAAGCAGACAAAGAGAUGUGGAUAACUGAGUGGAUCUGUGUGGAUCGGAAAAAACCCUCAUAUCUAGCUCAUCCCGAAUAUUCCCCACUAUUUUUUAGCUCAUCCCCAGUAUUUUUUUAUAUGAUCCCUAUUAUU